rnacentral:rRNA from 1 species
AGCGAACGCUGGCGGCAGGCCUAACACAUGCAAGUCGAACGAUCCUUCGGGAUAGUGGCGGACGGGUGAGUAACACGUGGGAACGUGCCCUUUGGUUCGGAACAACUCAGGGGAACUUGAGCUAAUACCGAAUGUGCCCUUCGGGGGAAAGAUUUAUCGCCAUUGGAGCGGCCCGCGUCUGAUUAGCUAGUUGGUGAGGUAAAGGCUCACCAAGGCUACGAUCAGUAGCUGGUCUGAGAGGAUGAUCAGCCACAUUGGGACUGAGACACGGCCCAAACUCCUACGGGAGGCAGCAGUGGGGAAUCUUGCGCAAUGGGCGAAAGCCUGACGCAGCCAUGCCGCGUGAAUGAUGAAGGUCUUAGGAUUGUAAAAUUCUUUCACCGGGGACGAUAAUGACGGUACCCGGAGAAGAAGCCCCGGCUAACUUCGUGCCAGCAGCCGCGGUAAUACGAAGGGGGCUAGCGUUGCUCGGAAUUACUGGGCGUAAAGGGCGCGUAGGCGGACAGUUUAGUCAGAGGUGAAAGCCCAGGGCUCAACCUUGGAAUUGCCUUUGAUACUGGCUGUCUUGAGUACGGAAGAGGUGUGUGGAACUCCGAGUGUAGAGGUGAAAUUCGUAGAUAUUCGGAAGAACACCAGUGGCGAAGGCGACACACUGGUCCGUUACUGACGCUGAGGCGCGAAAGCGUGGGGAGCAAACAGG